rnacentral:pre_miRNA from 1 species
UGCCACUCAUUUAAAUCUCAAGAUCAUAAAAAUUAAGGGCCCAGAUCAGUUCACGCAGUUAACUCUUAGGAUUUUGUUCACGUUUGAACCUAUAGGAUUAAAUGAGUGGCAUAAUUGUAAUUAUUUGGUUAAUUGAUCUAAGAGUGAACUGCGUGAACUGAUCUGGGCCCUUAAUUUUUAUGAUCUUGAGAUUUAAAUGAGUGGCA